GGAGAAGACUAUCUUGUGCCUGCCUGCCAUGUAGCUGUCCACGAUGAGGAAAGUGCCAAAACCAGAGGUGGCAAACCCAGAUUUUUAAAUGUCACAUGGAGCCAAUCAGAACUGCCACUAUCCAUUUCAUGAAAAGCAGAGUACAGAAUUCAAAGCCGUCCUUGAACAGCGAAGACUGAACGAUAGCAUCAGAUGUUGCAGUCUCAAUAAAUACUUCUUUCUGUUUUGGAGAA